GAAUAGGCGGUAUUUUCAAGUGAAACAACUAUGCGAGUGAGUGCUCAAAAAAGGAUGGACACAGGGCAUGGUGAACUGCUUGCUUGAGAUCAGAUCCAACAAUGUGUAUGCAUGGAGCAGUGACUCUUUAUUUUCCACUUCAUUUGCUUUUUUAUGGGUACACUUGGUAUGCUAAGCGAAAACUACUUCCAGAUGUCGAAGAAUCAUUCAGUACAUCAUCUCAAUAUGGAAUGUCAUCUUAAA